rnacentral:rRNA from 1 species
GAUGAACGCUGGCGGCGUGCCUAAUACAUGCAAGUCGAGCGAACGGACGAGAAGCUUGCUCCUCUGAUGUUAGCGGCGGACGGGUGAGUAACACGUGGAUAGCCUACCUAUAAGACUGGGAUAACUUCGGGAAACCGGAGCUAAUACCGGAUGAUAUUUUGAACCGCAUGGUUCAAAAGUGAAAGACGGUCUUGCUGUCACUUAUAGAUGGAUCCGCGCUGCAUUAGCUAGUUGGUAAGGUAACGGCUUACCAAGGCAACGAUGCAUAGCCGACCUGAGAGGGUGAUCGGCCACACUGGAACUGAGACACGGUCCAGACUCCUACGGGAGGCAGCAGUAGGGAAUCUUCCGCAAUGGGCGAAAGCCUGACGGAGCAACGCCGCGUGAGUGAUGAAGGUCUUCGGAUCGUAAAACUCUGUUAUUAGGGAAGAACAUAUGUGUAAGUAACUGUGCACAUCUUGACGGUACCUAAUCAGAAAGCCACGGCUAACUACGUG